AAAGGAUAACUGGCAUCUACAUCGGGAAAUCCGAGGAGAAGCCAAGAUUUGUAUAUAUUUCGGGGCAGAGGUGGACUUUUCAUUCAGGUGAAAACUUUCGUCGUUCUAGCAAAGGACCUGUCCGGGAGCAGUCAUGUUGUCAGCUAAAGCCACCUUUUUGCUAUUGGGGAUAUUUGCCAUCCUGUACGAAGUCUCCGCUGCACCAACAUUUGGAUUCUCCUCCUACCCUAGUUACGGAUAUGGAUAUUCCCCAUACGGAUACGGACACGGAUACGGACACGGUUACGGACACGGAUACGGACACGGUUACGGAUAUAAUAAUUACAACUGGCCUUCCUACCAUCAUCACCAGGACCUCUUCACGGGAUGAAACCAACACUAGAGACAAUAAAUAGAAAAAGUUCAUUCCAAUAACGGGGAACUCUCAAUAUUUUUCCUUCUGCCUCUCUUGAAGUGGCAUACGAACGCCCAAGGAUUCAAAAUACAUUAAUGCUUUGUAAGGAAACUUUUUAUAUGGAAAAUAUCCGUUAUGCUUUGAAUAGACACGGCAUUAUCCUGUGGCAUUGAUAAUAAAGUAUUUAAGCAAUAAAUUCUUUAAGUUUC